CCUACGGGGGGCAGCAGUGGGGAAUAUUGGACAAUGGGGGGAACCCUGAUCCAGCCAUGCCGCGUGUGUGAAGAAGGCCCUCGGGUUGUAAAGCACUUUCAGUGAGGAAGAACGCCUGGUGGUUAAUACCCAUCAGGAAAGACAUCACUCACAGAAGAAGCACCGGCUAACUCCGUGCCAGCAGCCGCGGUAAUACGGAGGGUGCGAGCGUUAAUCGGAAUUACUGGGCGUAAAGUGCGCGUAGGUGGCUUGAUAAGCCGGUUGUGAAAGCCCCGGGCUCAACCUGGGAACGGCAUCCGGAACUGUCAAGCUAGAGUGCAGGAGAGGAAGGUAGAAUUCCCGGUGUAGCGGUGAAAUGCGUAGAGAUCGGGAGGAAUACCAGUGGCGAAGGCGGCCUUCUGGACUGACACUGACACUGAGGUGCGAAAGCGUGGGUAGCAAACAGGAUUAGAUACCCCAGUAGUC
rnacentral:rRNA from 1 species